ensembl:snoRNA
UCUGGCUGUGAUGAGACACUUGCCCUCACUUAGAGGAGUGCCUCGAUGCUGAGAACUUCUUAGUACUCGUCUGAGCCCUGA